rnacentral:rRNA from 1 species
AACGAACGCUGGCGGCAGGCUUAACACAUGCAAGUCGAACGCACCUUUCGGGGUGAGUGGCAGACGGGUGAGUAACACGUGGGAACGUACCCUUCAGUUCGGAAUAACCCUGGGAAACUAGGGCUAAUACCGGAUACGGCCGAGAGGCGAAAGGUUUACUGCUGAGGGAUCGGCCCGCGUCCGAUUAGCUAGUUGGUGUUGGUAACGGCUCACCAAGGCGACGAUCGGUAGCUGGUCUGAGAGGAUGGCCAGCCACAUUGGGACUGAGACACGGCCCAAACUCCUACGGGAGGCAGCAGUGGGGAAUAUUGGACAAUGGGCGCAAGCCUGAUCCAGCCAUGCCGCGUGAGUGAUGACGGCCUUAGGGUUGUAAAGCUCUUUUACCUGGGAAGAUAAUGACGGUACCAGGAGAAUAAGAGAUGAUUCACUUGACUGUACCGGCAGAAUAA